rnacentral:rRNA from 1 species
AUUGAACGCUGGCGGCAUGCCUUACACAUGCAAGUCGAACGGCAGCACGGGAGCAAUCCUGGUGGCGAGUGGCGAACGGGUGAGUAAUACAUCGGAACGUGCCCAGUAGUGGGGGAUAACCCGGCGAAAGCCGGACUAAUACCUCAUACGACCUACGGUUGAAAGCGGGGGAUCGCAAGACCUCGCGCUAUCGGAGCGGCCGAUGUCAGAUUAGCUAGUUGGUGGGGUAAAGGCCUACCAAGGCGACGAUCUGUAGCUGGUCUGAGAGGACGACCAGCCACACUGGGACUGAGACACGGCCCAGACUCCUACGGGAGGAAGCAGUGGGGAAUUUUGGACAAUGGGCGAAAGCCUGAUCCAGCCAUGCCGCGUGCGGGAAGAAGGCCUUCGGGUUGUAAACCGAUUUUGUCAGGGAAGAAACGCUCCGGGCUAAUACCACGGAGUAAUGACGGUACCUGAAGAAUAAGCACCGGCUAACUACGUG